rnacentral:rRNA from 1 species
UACGUAGGCAGCGAGCGUUGUUCGGAAUUACUGGGCGUAAAGAGUGUGUAGGCGGUGCUCUAAGUUCGGUGUGAAAUCUCCUGGCUUAACUGGGAGGGUGCGCCGGAAACUGGGGUGCUCGAGCGUGGGAGAGGAAAGCGGAAUUCCUGGUGUAGCGGUGAAAUGCGUAGAUAUCCGGAGGAACACCAGUGGCGAAGGCGACUUUCUGGCCUGUUCUUGACGCUGAGGCGCGAAAGCUAGGGGAGCAAACGGG